rnacentral:rRNA from 1 species
AACGAUGAUGGGAGCUUGCUCCUGGAUUAGUGGCGAACGGGUGAGUAACACGUGAGUAACCUGCCCUUAACUCUGGGAUAAGCCUGGGAAACUGGGUCUAAUACCGGAUAUGACUCCUCAUCGCAUGGUGGGGGGUGGAAAGCUUUAUUGUGGUUUUGGAUGGACUCGCGGCCUAUCAGCUUGUUGGUGAGGUAAUGGCUUACCAAGGCGACGACGGGUAGCCGGCCUGAGAGGGUGACCGGCCACACUGGGACUGAGACACGGCCCAGACUCCUACGGGAGGCAGCAGUGGGGAAUAUUGCACAAUGGGCGCAAGCCUGAUGCAGCGACGCCGCGUGAGGGAUGACGGCCUUCGGGUUGUAAACCUCUUUCAGUAGGGAAGAAGCGAAAGUGACGGUACCUGCAGAAGAAGCGCCGGCUAACUACGUGCCAGCAGCCGCGGUAAUACGUAGGGCGCAAGCGUUAUCCGGAAUUAUUGGGCGUAAAGAGCUCGUAGGCGGUUUGUCGCGUCUGCCGUGAAAGUCCGGGGCUCAACUCCGGAUCUGCGGUGGGUACGGGCAGACUAGAGUGAUGUAGGGGAGACUGGAAUUCCUGGUGUAGCGGUGAAAUGCGCAGAUAUCAGGAGGAACACCGAUGGCGAAGGCAGGUCUCUGGGCAUUAACUGACGCUGAGGAGCGAAAGCAUGGGGAGCGAACAGGAUUAGAUACCCUGGUAGUCCAUGCCGUAAACGUUGGGCACUAGGUGUGGGGGACAUUCCACG